AAUAAACGUUGGCGGCGUGCUUAACACAUGCAAGUCGAGCGAGAAAGGUCUUCGGACUGAGUACAGCGGCAAACGGGUGAGUAACACGUAGGAAUCUACCUUUUAGUGGAGAAUACCCUCGAGAAAUCGAGGUUAAUACUGCAUACGUCUCGCAAGAGAGAAAGAUGGCCUCUUUGCUGUCGCUAAAAGAUGAGCCUGCGUCCUAUUAGUUAGUUGGUGGGGUAAUGGCCUACCAAGACGAUGAUGGGUAGCCGGCCUGAGAGGGUGUACGGCCACACUGGAACUUAGACACGGUCCAGACUCCUACGGGAGCAG
rnacentral:rRNA from 1 species